rnacentral:rRNA from 1 species
GACGAACGCUGGCGGCGUGCCUAAUACAUGCAAGUCGAGCGGACGAAUCGAAAGCUUGCUUUUGAUUCGUUGGCGGCGGACGGGUGAGUAACACGUGGGCAACCUGCCCUGUAGACGGGGAUAACACCGAGAAAUCGGUGCUAAUACCGGAUAACACGAAAUGUCGCAUGACGUUUCGUUGAAAGACGGCGCAAGCUGUCGCUACAGGAUGGGCCCGCGGCGCAUUAGCUAGUUGGUGAGGUAACGGCUCACCAAGGCGACGAUGCGUAGCCGACCUGAGAGGGUGAUCGGCCACACUGGGACUGAGACACGGCCCAGACUCCUACGGGAGGCAGCAGUAGGGAAUCUUCCGCAAUGGACGAAAGUCUGACGGAGCAACGCCGCGUGAGCGAAGAAGGCCUUCGGGUCGUAAAGCUCUGUUGUUAGGGAAGAACAAGUAACGCAGUAACUGGCGUUACCGUGACGGUACCUAACGAGAAAGCCACGGCUAACUACGUG